CCAACCUGGUUGAUCCUGCCAGUAGUCAUAUGCUUGUCUCAAAGAUUAAGCCAUGCAUGUCUAAGUAUAAACAAAUUUGUACUGUGAAACUGCGAAUGGCUCAUUAAAUCAGUUAUAGUUUAUUUGAUGGUAUCUUACUACAUGGAUAACUGUGGUAAUUCUAGAGCUAAUACAUGCAUCAAAGCCCCGACUCU
rnacentral:rRNA from 1 species